AUUAUAAAUAUCACUACAACUUAAUUAAACUAUAGGGACAUAUUUUUGAAAUAUUUUUAUACAAGUGUCUUAUUUAUGCCUAAACUUUUAAAAAAAUUCUAUUAAGGCUUAAAUAUAAAGUCCAAUCCAAUAAAAAAUAAAAAGUUUAUCUACUCAACCAACUACACUCAGCCCACGUACUCGAUCCGAUUACAAAUAAAAAAUGAAGAAAGAAAAAAAAUAUCACUAUCUCCCAUUCUCCUCCGCUGCGCAGCCGAUGAGAAAUAGGGUUCCGGCAGCUGGACUUCAGCCACGAAGAUUUUGUAGGGACCGUAGAGGGCUACGAUCGCCACGUAUCCCUCAGCCACAGGUCGCUGGAGGAGUGGGUGCCAAAUAUCAAGGUGACCCUACCUAUAGCGACUCUACAUAUAGCAACACUUUUAAAAAGUAUUGGUAAUUUAGCCAGCAACACUUUUUUUGACUUGUACCGAUAUUUAAAAAUGUCGCUAUACACCGUUUUUAUUGUAGUGUAUAUUCAUGUAAAGUUCAACUUUCAUAAGUUAUUCCUAUAAAAGUCUUAAUAUUUUCUGAUAUGUUCAUCUAAUUUGUUAUAACUAUUAGAAAACUAUUUAAAUUUUUAAUUUUGCCAUCACAAAUAUGUCUCUUCAAAAGUUAUAACAGUAUAAUAUAAUAGUGAUAAAAAUGUCAAAAAUUAAUUCGGGUAAAAAUAUCAAAAGUUUCUAACGAAUUCUAACCGUAGGGAAUAUAUAUGAAAAUAUUAGAAAUUUUGCAAAAAAUAACCUAUGAAAGUUGAACUUACAGGAAUAUAUUUGAAAUUUACUAUGUUUGCAGGGACCUGUAUAUAAUUAACCCAAUUUAAUUAUGUGUGCGAUAUUACAUUUCAUAUAAGAUAAAUUUCAAUCGAACACAAUC
rnacentral:lncRNA from 1 species